UCCCUCCUUCAAUUCCCCUCCAUGAUUUAUGUGUCAAAACUGAUUUUUUUACUGAAAUUUGCUGCUUCUAACAUUUGCUUAAGACUGCGAGGAUCACACUUGCUUCUUCAGUUAGCAAAACCUGGUAGACAAAUCUCACUAGGCCAUUUGUUUCAUGAUGUGGCAAGUAAUUUAGUCAUUGUUUCAGACUGCAAUCAAGUCUUCUGUCAUUGUUUCAAAAUUCUUCAGACUGCUAGAUUCAAGUUCUGCUAUAACUGAAAAAAGGGACAUAACCACACCUGAAUAAUUUUCGAGUUCAGAACCACACAUUUUAUCAUCCUACUUCCAGGAAUUUUUCUUGAUGAACCUGAGAUUUAUUGGUAAGGGUAUUCACUAGUCUACUAAGUCCAGGGUAUCAGUAGCAUUUUCUUAUUCUUUUGGCAAGCCUUUUCUUGGUUGCGCGGUUAACUGAUCUUGUUAACAUGUUAACUGAAUUUUGCAAGGAAAAUUGAACUUUGCGUUGUUGGACUGACAGGAGUAGAAAAUUUGGAGUACACAGUGUACUGAGUUCUCUUACUCCGUCAAAUUACUCUUGGCUGUAGCUCCCAUACAAAAUUAAAGGAUCGGAAUUACUAUUGCAAAUAAAUUUCUGAUGUUUGAAAACAUCACAAUUUUUGAAAAAUGCCCAUGGGUACAAUGUAGGUGUAGUAGGUUUUUGCCUAUUUGCAAGUUUGGCAUAUCUUGCAUGGGUUCAGGUACAUCAGUAUGUUGUUUCUAUACCAGUAAGCUGGCAUCAACCAAAUACUUCUAUUAUUCAAAUAAAUCCAAAUACUUCUAUCCUUUCUUUUCCUAUCCUUUCUCAUAGAACACAUGACACAAUACAUACACAUGACACAAAGCCAUACACAUGACACAAGACAUACACAUGACACAAAGCCAUACACAUGACACAAGACAUACACAUGACACAUGACACAUCACAUACUCCUAUCCUUUCUUUUCCUUUUCCCUUUCCCUUUAUUUUUGAGCUUUCUCUAUCUACUCAUUUCCUCUUUCAAUAAUGGCCUUGGUGUCAGUAAUUAGCUCCGGACUGCAGUAUACACCGGUUAUUUCCUCUCCAGCAUUUUGUAGACGGUCCUUGUGUAGAUGCGGCAGCUUAUAGUUGUUUCCUCCUUGAUCUUUCAUCACUUCCACCAUGACUGCUUGCAACGUCAUAAAGCUUUUGAACAGCUUAUGGGGAUCGUAGUUCUCAAACUCCUCCUCUACACCCUGUACCAGUUCCUGUAUAUUCAUAGGCGCUCUGCAGUCGGUUAGGGAUUGGAGGGAGCAGUGGAAACAAAGAUCCAGAACAUUGAGCUCAGGGCUGUUUGGUGGUUGUUGCAAUAAUCGAAUAUCCAGAUCUGUCUGUGCCACGGCUUCUAGAAAACCAGCAUCAUUAGGGAGGACAUGCGGUGUUGCAUUAUCUUGUUGAAUAAAGACCGUUGUGUCAUCGUCACCGUCCGGCCAUUUGUCUUGAAUGGCAGGGAUUACUUUAUUGAUCAAGUAAUCUCUGCACACAGGUCUAGUAACUUUGACCGGCUUCAACUCUAUUGUCCCCCUAUCUCUAUUCUGGCUUGUUCGUUGUGCCUCGGGCUGUACCACGAACGGCCAAAUGCCAAGUUUCCCAUCAAAUAUCAUCUCCCCAUCUUCAUUGUAGCGAGGUUUGGCUACAACUGUUAGAAACAUUACCUUCCCAAUGCUAUGAGUAUUGUGCACAGUUCAGUUUGGUUCUUCUUCUCCAGGCAGUACGUAGUAGCUACUCUUCACUCGGGUCAUGUCAUACCAUUUCUCGUCGAUGUGGACCAUAUUUGUCAUUGGCUUGAAACUGGGCCAAGGACUUGAUAUCCAUCUUUCAACCAUCAUGGAUAGGCAGAACUUUAGUCUCGCUAUCUUGUUCUGUGGCUUGAGGGUGGGUUUGAUGGUGCUUGUGAUGCGUUUCAGCUCUUGCAAUUGAAAUCUGUCAUGUAGGGUUGAUCGGGGCACACCUAAACACCUUGCUAGAGACCGGAUUGUUCUUCUUUUGUUCAAGGGGAUUGUGGCUGUUCUCGACAGAUCUAGUUCUUUUCUCUUCCUACCACUUUUGUUCUUCUUGCUUGAAACAUCAACUUCUUGGCCUGCCGCAAGUUGUCGUUUGGCUAGAUUCCAUAUUCUUGCAACUGUUCGCGGGUGAACAUUCAGCAUCGUCGCAAUGAGCACCUUGUCAUACACGUGAACCUGUCCAUCUCUAAGCUCGAUUACUCGCAGAGCAAAGUAAACACCAUGUCUCUCCUCGUUUGUCAAGUCCUUGCCUCUUGGAUUGCCAUGUGCAUCAGCUUCUUCCAAUUCUGCAUCUUCUUGUGCCUCUUGAGCUUCUUCCAAUUCUGCAUCUCCUUGUGCCUCUUGAGCUUCUUCCAAUUCUGCAUCUCCUUGUGCCUCUUGAGCUUCUUCCGGCAUCAAGUUCAAAUCAAUAGCAUCACCCUGUUGAGCUUGUUCUUCUUGUUGAGCUUCGUCCUCAUCUUCCGGCAUCAAGUUCAAAUCAAUAGCAUCACCCUGCUGAGCUUGUUCUUCUUCUUGAGCUUCGUCCUCCUCUUCCGGCAUCAAAUUCAAAUCCAUAGUUGUGUGCUCCUAUCUGAUCUCAUAACAAGAGUAUACAAAAGAUGAAUGGUGAGCAUAUAAUCAUAACAAGAAAACCAUAAAGAAUCCUAGACAAAAAGCAAAGAAACCAAGAAAGAGAAAAGUAGAUAUUAAAAGUACUCCUUGUUCAUAAGAAACUACAGGUCCUACUACAUCUCUCUUUUUUGCAGGGACCAAGGCAGGAAUUAAAAAGCAAACAAAAGCAGGGGCCAUGAGUACAUCUCAACUUUUACUGUAUUUCUUGUUGACAACUACUGCAGAGCAAGCAAGCAAGCAAUGUACAUAGAUCAGUUAUGUUUUAAAUUACAGAGCAAGCAAGCAAGGCACUGGAGAUGAACAAAUUACAGAACCCUGUACUUGUUCUCACCAGCAGCAGCACGAGUAGGGGACCUCAAGCGGCAGCACACGAGAAGGGGAUCUCCGGGCGGCAGCACGAGCAGGGGAGGAGCAGCAAGUUGCCGAGAAGCAGCAGAAGGGGCUCCAGCUUGAGGUCCAGGAUCGCAAAAGAGCUUAAGGAUGAGCUUGAGGGAGCUUGUGGUCCAGGCGCGGCGGGAGCUCGUGGUCCAGGCGCUCGAGACCCAGGCGCGCGCGGGUCUUGGCCGGCGGCGGCGCAGGCCCUGCGAGGAAGGAGGGGAUAUCGUCGACGCAGGUCCUGGGCGGCGGAGGAGCACGUCUUGUGCGGUGACGGAGCAAGUAGGGCGGCGCAGGUCCUUGGCGGCGGAGGAGCAAGCAGGGCGGCGCGGGUCCUGGGCCGCGGAGGAGCACGUCAUGUGCGGCAACGGAGCAAGCAGGGCGGCGCGGGUCCUGGGUCGCGGAGGAGCACGUCCAGUGCGGCGGCGGAGCAAGCAAUUGGGCGGCGCAGGUCUUGGGCUGACGACUGGCCCUGGCGACGCGCGCCGGCGACGGGCGAAGGAAGAAGGAAGAAGACGCGACCUGUAUGGUGACCUGUUUGUAACAAAUUUGAAGUUAUAAGGGUGUUUUUGAAAAAUUAACAUUACACUACGCCGUGGACAAUUUUUCCCGAACGGAGGGAGUAUAAUAUAAGAGCAUUUUUGA